UCAUUUCUUGGUGAGCAUGAUCUACCAUAAUCUCUUCGAUCCCUUCAUUUAUGUGCCAGAAUAAAGAGAGAUUUGGUAGGAAAGUGGAAGAUACUUUUUUUAUAUGAUAAUCAAAGGGAGUGGGAAAGCUGCAGUAAUUCUGUGGAAAAGCCCGCUUCUCUUUGUCUUCGAGCUUGAAUUCUUCAAUCCACUGAUUCGUUCCUUCAUAUACCUCCCCACCAAUAGAUAGAGACAAAUGGGAAUAACCGAACCACGUCUACAAAAUGCCAGUACCAUGCAGCUGCUUCAAAGCCAACGUGAUGCUCCUUGGUCAGAUGACCAAGAUAUUGGCGAAUACCACAUAUGAUCGAGAAAAGAGUACCUAUAAUCACAUGAAAACCAUGAAAGCCAGUUGCUAAGAAAAAGGUAGAACCAUAAAUACUAUCCGAAAUUAUGGGGGCGCUUGAUAAUAUUCCAUUCCUUGAAAGGAGGUGAAUACUAGAGCCAGUGAAAUGGUAGCUACUAAAGUGUAAACUGCUCGUUUUUCCUUCCCCACGAGUAUAGCAUGAUGAGCCCAAGUUACGGCAGCUCCGUAUGAAAGGGGAAUAAGAGUAUUAAGAAAAGGGAUUUCCCGAGGAUCUAAAACCGCAAUCCCUUUUGGGGGCCAAAUACCUCCGAUCUCUACCGUAGGUGCCAAAGAAGAAUGAGAAGAAGCCCAAAAAAGAGCAAAAAGGAACAUAACCUCCGAAACGAUAAACAGAAUAAACCCAUAUCGAGGUCCUAAUUGUACGACUUUGGUAUGAUGUCCUUCAAACGUGGAUUCACGUAGAACAUCGCGCCACCAUACGAACAUGGUAUAUAGGAUAAAGAUUAGGCCCAAAUUGAGAAGUGUUGCACCCCCUUGAAAUGAGUGCAUGUACAUCACACCUCCUAUGGUGGUUGCCAAAGCUCCGAGUGAACCCGAAAUAGGCCAUGGACUUGGAUCUACCAAAUGAUAAGAGUCCUCUGAGAUUCAAGCGUAAACAAUUUUGCCUCGAUUGCAUGUAAACCCCCCCUUCACCCCGCCCCCUAAAAUGGUAAAGAAGGCUCUUUGGGGUCUCUCUUUCUAUCUGAUAGGAAAAACAAAUAGGAAGGGAUGGUUCUUUCAUUGCAAGAAGUCUAACUAGAAAAGGAUAUCCCUAUUACUUUGAGAAGAGAAUUGUUGGUUUGACCGACGAACUACGUGGGAAAAUGGAUCUUCUUUCUUUUCAGAAAGCAUUUUUUGAAAGUAACAAUUCCAUUCAGUUCGGUUUCGGAAAACUUUCCGUCGGGGCCUAACAUCAAAGGCGCAGGUUGAUCUCUAUGGUUGAGGCUGCAAUUCAUUUUUACACGUAGGAAGGGCUUACUCUACUAGAGGCUCGGCUUGGUCUCGUUCCCUUCCCGUACUAUUCCUCCGCACUAAAAAAAGAGUGAUUGAGAAUCUCGAGAACCUUUCCGAACGUCUGUCUUCGCGGGGCAAUUUGAAAAGGAGUAUAUCUUUCUUGUAGUGCCUUCCAUUCCACUAUUCUGAUCUAGAAAGAAUCUCUUCUGAACGACCAAGUCAUGAUGAGAUUAAAAACCGAUGCUUCCUUGGCCGUGUGGAACAUGGAUUAGCAUUAUGUCAUUCCUACAAGUGAUCCCCCAUCUAGGAUUGGAAGAAGUGCUAUAUGCAGACUUUGAGAUCAAAUAGAAGAUGUUCCUUUCCAUUCCUCGUGAGCCACUAAUUUCUCCGAAACAAGAGAUCAAAGUGAUCUUCCUCCUUUUUCCCAAUAAGUCGACGGCCUUACACCAUUGGGAGACUUCGAAUAAACUGGAGUACAUAUAGGAUAGACCGGUGCUAAAACCUUUUCUCAAGAUAUCUUCCAAACUGUUGGGCUCCUUGCUCCGGAUGUUGUUCGUACGGUGUGAAAGCAGUUGGUUACGUAGUUUUAGAAUUCUGCUGAUCCCAAGUAGUCCAUCUCCAUCAUUGCAUAUGGCAAUAUAGAAAGUAAAGAGGAAAAGGCAUGACCAAAAGAAUUGUGUGAAAUAAUUCAAUUGAUCUAGUUGAGGUAUGAUUGAUUCAGUGAUGUGACUUCUCCUGCUCCAGUAAAUCAGUCUGGAGACUUGCUAAUUCAAUUCAAUUGCCUUGGUUUUUCCAAGAAAUACAUGGGAAAAAUAGGGAGAAAGAAAUGGGAUUGUGUCAACAGGCCCCUAUUCCGACGAAAAACAGCCCCUUUUCUUUUUGUUUAGCCUGUUCCUAUCAGAUAAAUUCUUAAGAGAAGAGGAAAAAAGUCCUCCGUCAUAGGCGGCCGAGGGUACCUUCCUAGAGGUUCUUUUUUAAUUUGAAUCAGGUCUCCUCACUUAUGUUUAUGCUUAUGAUAAUAUAUGCUGAUCCCUAAUCUCAC
rnacentral:lncRNA from 1 species